rnacentral:rRNA from 1 species
GAUAGGAAUAUUGGACAAUGGGCGCAAGCCUGAUCCAGCCAUGCCGCGUGAGUGAUGAAGGCCUUCGGGUUGUAAAGCUCUUUAGCCGAUGAUUAUAAUGACUGUAGUCGGAAAAUAAGCCCCGGCUAACUUCGUGCCAGCAGCCGCGGUAAUACGAAGGGGGCGAGCGUUAUUCGGAAUCACUGGGCGUAAAGCGUGCGUAGGCGGCUUUGCAAGUUGGGAGUGAAAGCCCAGGGCUCAACCCUGGAAUUGCUCUCAAAACUGCAAGGCUCGAAGUCGAGAGAGGAUAGCGGAAUUGUCAGUGUAGCAGUGAAAUGCGUAGAUAUUGACAGGAACACCAGUGGCGUAAGCGUCUAUCUGGACCGAUAUUGACGCUUAGGCACGAAAGCGUGGGGAUCAAACAGGAUUAGAAACCCUUGUAGUCC